GAUUAAGUUAAUAAGGGCGUACGGUGGAUGCCUUGGCACUAUGAGCUGAAGAAGGACGCAACUAACGGCGAAACGCGUCGGGGAGUGGUAAGUACACAACGAUCCGGCGAUAUCCGAAUGGGGGAACCCAGCAGAAGUAAUGUUCUGUUAUCCAUAAGUGAAUACAUAGCUUAUGAGAGAGCAACCUAGGGAAUUGAAACAUCUUAGUACCUAGAGGAAAAGAAAACAACAGUGAUUCCCAGAGUAGCGGCGAGCGAAAUGGGAGGAGCCCAAACCGACUAUGAGUCGGGGUAGUAGGACUGCGACGUGGUAUUUAUGAUGGUAGAAGAAUGGCAUUGAAAGGCCAACCGAAGAGGGUGCAAGUCCCGUAUUCGAAACCAAAGUAAAACCUAGCAGUAUCCUGAGUACGGCGAGACACGAGAAAUCUUGUCGGAAUCAACCAGGACCAUCUGGUAAGGCUAAAUACUCCAUAGUGACCGAUAGUGAACCAGUACCGUGAGGGAAAGGUGAAAAGAACCCCGGGAGGGGAGUGAAAUAGAACCUGAAACCGUAUGCUUACAAGAAGUCAGAGCCCGUUAAAGGGUGAUGGCGUGCCUUUUGUAGAAUGAACCGGCGAGUUACCAUAUCGUGCGAGGUUAAGUAGAAAAUACGGAGCCGAAGCGAAAGCGAGUCUUAAUAGGGCGAGAGUACGAUGCGGUAGACCCGAAACUAGGUGAUCUAUCCAUGACCAGGUUGAAGUUGAGGUGAAACUCAAUGGAGGACCGAACCGACUAUCGUUGAAAAGCUAGCGGAUGAGUUGUGGAUAGCGGAGAAAUUCCAAUCGAACCUAGAUAUAGCUGGUUCUCCUCGAAAUAGCUUUAGGGCUAGCGUCGAAGUAGAGUCAUAUGGAGGUAGAGCACUGAAUGUAUGAUGGCCCCAUCUCGGGGUACUGAUUAUAAUCAAACUACGAAUGCCAUAUCGAUAUAUUCGGCAGUCAGACUGUGGGUGAUAAGGUCCAUGGUCAAAAGGGAAACAGCCCAGAUCACCAGCUAAGGUCCCAAAAUUUAUGCUAAGUGGAAAAGGAUGUGGGGAUGCACAGACAACUAGGAGGUUGGCUCAGAAGCAGCCAUCCUUUAAAGAGUGCGUAACAGCUCACUAGUCGAGUGACCCUGCGCCGAAAAUGUACCGGGGCUAAGCAUAAUACCGAAGCUGUGGAUUCAUGCUUUGAGCAUGAGUGGUAGAGGAGCGUUCCAUUCGUCGUUGAAGCCAUACCGUGAGGAGUGGUGGAGAGUAUGGAAGUGAGAAUGCCGGUGUGAGUAGCGAGAUGCAGGUGAGAAUCCUGCACACCGAUAGCCUAAGGUUUCCAGGGGAAGGUUCGUCCGCCCUGGGUAAGUCAGGACCUAAGAUGAGGCCGAAAGGCGUAGUCGAUGGACAACAGGUUGAUAUUCCUGUACCCGCGUGAAAAUGACGGAGUGACGGAGAUGGUUAAUGUAUGCCACUUAAUGGAUUGUGGUCUAAGCGAAGUAGCUUGUAUGUAGGAAAAUCCGCAUACUGAUAGGCAAAAGCGUGAUGGGGAAAAGAAAGCCUUCGGGCGAGUAAAGAAGUACACGAUACCAGCUUCCAAGAAAAGCUUCUAGUAUAUUUCAUGACGGCCUGUACCGAAACCGACACAGGUGGGCAAGGCGAGAAGCCUGAGGUGAGCGAGAGAACUGUUGCCAAGGAACUCGGCAAAAUGGUCCCGUACGUUCGCAAGAAGGGACGCUCUAGAAAUAGAGCCGCAGUGAAUAGGCCCAAGCGACUGUUUAUCUAAAACACAGCUCUCUGCUAAGUUGAAAGACGACGUAUAGGGGGUGACUCCUGCCCGGUGCUGGAAGGUUAAGGGAAUCUGUUAGGACUAGAUCCGAAGCAGUGAACUGAAGCCCCAGUGAACGGCGGCCGUAACUAUAACGGUCCUAAGGUAGCGAAAUUCCUUGUCAGGUAAGUUCUGACCCGCACGAAAGGAGUAACGAUUUGGGCGCUGUCUCGGCAGCAGACUCGGUGAAAUCUUAGUACCUGUGAAAAUGCAGGUUACCCGCAACUAGACGGAAAGACCCCAUGGAGCUUUACUGUAGCUUGAUAUUGAAUUUUAGUUAAACAUGUACAGGAUAGGUGGGAGACGUUAAAGCAUGCACGCCAGUGUAUGUGUAGUCACUGUUGGGAUACCACCCUUGUUUAAUUGAAAUUCUAACCUACUACCGUUAUCCGGUAGAGGGACCGUGUCAGGUGGGCAGUUUGACUGGGGCGGUCGCCUCCUAAAAAGUAACGGAGGCGCCCAAAGGUAUGCUCAGAUUGGAUGGAAAUCAAUCGACGAGUGCAAUUGCAGAAGCAUGCUUGACUGUGAGACCUACAAGUCGAACAGGGACGAAAGUCGGGAAUAGUGAUCCGGCGGUACCGAAUGGAAGGGCCGUCGCUCAACGGAUAAAAGCUACCCUGGGGAUAACAGGCUGAUCUCGCCCAAGAGUUCACAUCGACGGCGAGGUUUGGCACCUCGAUGUCGGCUCAUCGCAUCCUGGAGCUGAAUUCGGUUCCAAGGGUUGGGCUGUCCGCCCAUUAAAGCGGUACGCGAGCUGGGUUCAGAACGUCGUGAGACAGUUCGGUCCCUAUCUGUUGUGGGCGUAGGAAAUUUGAGGAGAGCUGUCCUUAGUACGAGAGGACCGGGAUGGACUUACCUCUGGUGCACCAGUUGUCGUGCCAACGGCAUAGCUGGGUAGCUAAGUAGGGAAAGGAUAAGCGCUGAAGGCAUCUAAGCGCGAAGCCUCCUCCAAGAUGAGAUUUCCCAUACGUAAGUAGUAAGACCCCUUAAAGACGAUAAGGUUGAUAGGCUAGAGAUGGAAGUGUAGCGAUACAUGGAGUUGACUAGUACUAAUAGGUCGAGGACUUAAUCAC
rnacentral:rRNA from 1 species